GUGAGAUGCGUAGUGGGAUUAGUCGAUGUCGGAUUGCCAAUACGAAUAGUGUAAAUUUGAAAAGUAUCGAGAAGUGAUUCGAAUUUAUUUUUUAAAAAACCGAAAACGUGCAUUUGUUAAAACGGUGCAAUAAGAAACGCCAUUGUACGCAGCUAGAGAAUUUAUGAUACUCAACUCCACGUGGUUCAGGGUUCAUUAUUGGAGUUUACGGUCCCAGAAUCUCCUGCUAACGUGGGGUUUUUGUCCGGAGUGGUCGAAUACCACGAAUACAUCAUCGGCCACGUGAUCGCGACUGUCGCCAACCAUUCCAAGCCCGCGUGUAAGCUCAUCCAGCCAUAACAGCCCUGGUAACGCCCUCAGGCCUCCGGGACGGUCGA